UGGAGGAGUUGAAGCAGAGCCAAGAGUUGAAGAUACAAUCUUUACAAGAUCAGCUUGACCAUAUUUCAUCUUUUUUACAGAGAUUUGCCCCUUCGGUUGCUGAUACUUCUACUCGUAGAGAUGAUGAUGCCGUCGACUCUUGAAACCUCGUAGACUGUUUAUUUAGGAAUUUGCUAUGUAUGUUUUUAAUAUUUUUAAAGUACAAUGUAAUCAAAUAUGAUAAUAUGAUUAGCUUUUAAUAAAAAAUUUUGUUUGUGAUGUGACUUUUGUGAUGGGAUAAUAGGUUGUGUGUUUGCUGUGCUGGAAAAAUUUGUUUUAUAAAUUUGUAUACAGGUUUAACAUUUCUUUUUAUGAA